rnacentral:rRNA from 1 species
UGUAGUCUCGCACAGAUGCAUAUCAAUAAGCGGAGGAAAAGAAACUAACAAGGAUUCCCCUAGUAACGGCGAGUGAAGCGGGAAGAGCUCAAAUUUGAAAUCUUAAAGGGUUUCCCUUUACGAAUUGUAGUUUAAAGAAGUGUUUUCUGUUGAGGUUUUGGUAAAAGUUCUUUGGAAUAGGACAUCAUAGAGGGUGAGAAUCCCGUAUUUGACCUUUACUUUCAACUUUGUGAUACACUUUCAAAGAGUCGGAUUGUUUGGGAAUGCAGUCCAAAAUGGGUGGUAAAUUUCAUCUAAAGCUAAAUAUUGGCGAGAGACCGAUAGCGAACAAGUACCGUGAGGGAAAGAUGAAAAGAACUUUGAAAAGAGAGUUAAACAGUACGUGAAAUUGUCAAAAGGGAAGCGUUUGACACCAGUGUUGUUUUUCUGAAAAUCAAUUAAAGAACUGUUUAUGCUAAGUUGUUUAGACUUUAUCAGCUAUCUGCUUAGUUUUGAGCUUUUCUUUAAUGCACUUUUCAGUUAACAAGUCAACAUCAAUUUCUUUUGCUGUAAAAAAGCUUGAGGAAGGUGGCUUGAGAUUCGUCUUAAGUGUUUAUAGCCUCUUGCCUAUGCAGUCGGAGAGAUUGAGGUCUGCAGCGUAGAUCCUUCGGGGCUAAAUGCAUUUGUGCUAAGUUAUAGCAUUUUAUAGACAACUUGUUGACUAUGAUUUGUCUUGUAGCUUACUCGCUUAUGUUAUUUUACCUACGCUUAGGAUGUUGACGCAUGAGAUAUACGC